rnacentral:lncRNA from 1 species
AUAGGUAAUGAAGGUUUAGCUGCUGACCUAACUGACGAUCCUGAUACUGAGGAAGCACUGAAAGAAUUUGAUUUUUUAGUGACUGCUGAAGAUGGUGAAGGAGCUGGAGAAGCACGGAGUUCGGGGGAUGGCACAGAAUGGGGGGCCAACAGGACAAAACUCUACGACAUGAUAGCUGAUCUGGGAGAUGAUGAGCUGCCCCACAUCCCUUCAGGAAUCAUUAAUCAGUCUAGGUCAGCCUCUACUAGAAUGACUGAUCAUGAAGGUGCAAGAGCAGAGGAAGCUGAACCAAUAACGUUUCCAUCUGGAGGAGGCAAGUCAUUUAUUAUGGGUUCUGAUGAUGUUUUGUUAAGUGUACUGGGCCUUGGAGACCUUGCAGACUUGACGGUAACAAAUGAUGCAGACUAUAGUUAUGAU